rnacentral:misc_RNA from 1 species
GGCCUUGACGUACGGACGUCCCAUUUCAGCAUCUGAGGAGACCUGCUACCCAAGGAGCUCCUCCGCCAAUGAGAUCGACUAUGAUUAUCCCGACUUCACCUGGUACGUUGAGCCAUCCGCCUACAACGAUGAUCAUCUGCAGGAGGAGUACACUAGCUAUGCUCGUCCCAAGCCCCGACCUGCUCCUAACAGUCUUGGAAGUUGCCCUAUUCUAGGGGGAAACGAUGAAGAGAAGAAACAUCACCACUGCCACCACCAACACGAGAAGCACUGUGAUGACGAGUAAUAGGGAUUCAUGCCAUUAUUUGCUACUAAAUAAAGGAUUGAGGCAUGUUUCCUUUCGUGUAAGAGCUCUUUGUGAACUUGUGUGUUUCCUGCAGUGCAAUGGAUCAUCUGUUACUAGUAUUCAUAACACCAGUAGCUAGUAUCUAUUAGGCAUGUUUCGUCUUUAAUGGUGGUUCCGUUGUGCAAUCUAUGUGAACAUUGUCUACUAUAAGUUAAUAUAAACAAAAAGUUUAGUGCUCAUAAAUUUAAAAUUCCUUCUAAGGAUUAUGGACUUCUUCUCUAUCAUAUCUGCAGCAUUUUCCAUAUAAAUCUAUUUCAAUAUAUAAAUUAUGAAAUAUAACUAAUUAAACGUAGAAAACAAUAAAAUAUAUAAAACUCAUGUACUUAUAUCUUGAAUUUAUAAUGGACUAUGUCUAGAUCAAUUUUUUCUCAAUUAA